GACGAACGCUGGCGGCGUGCUUAACACAUGCAAGUCGAACGGAAAGGCCCCCACCUUGGUGGGGGUGCUCGAGUGGCGAACGGGUGAGUAACACGUGGGUGAUCUGCCCUGUACUUCGGGAUAAGCUUGGGAAACUGGGUCUAAUACCGGAUAGGACCAUGGUUUAGUGUCUCAUGGUGGAAAAAUCAUUGUUUUGGUGCAGGAUGAGCUCGCGGCCUGUCAGCUUGUUGGUGGGGUAAUGGCCUACCAAGGCGUCGACGGGUAGCCGGCCUGAGAGGGUGGACGGCCCCGUUGGGACUGAGAUACGGCCCAGACUCCUACGGGAGGCAGCAGUGGGGAAUAGUGCACGAUGGGCGCAAGCCUGAUGCAGCGACGCCGCGUGGGGGAUGACGGCCUUCGGGUUGUAAACUCCUUUCGUUAGGGACGAAGCCACACCUUUUUUGGGUGUGGUGACGGUACCUUUGUUAAGAAGCACCGGCUAACUACGUG
rnacentral:rRNA from 1 species